rnacentral:rRNA from 1 species
CUAGGCAGGGGUAGUACCGUAACCUCAGCGGCGAGUGAGCGGGAAGAGCUCAAAUUUGAAAUCUGGCAGUCUUCGAUUGUCCGAGUUGUAAUCUAUAGAGGCGUUUUCCGUGCCGGACCGUGUCCAAGUCUCCUGGAAAGGAGUAUCAAAGAGGGUGAUAAUCCCGUACUUAACACGACCACCGGUGCUCUGUGAUACGUCUUCUACGAGUCGAGUUGUUUGGGAAUGCAGCUCAAAAUGGGUGGUGAAUUCCAUCUAAAGCUAAAUAUUGGCGAGAGACCGAUAGCGAACAAGUACCGUGAGGGAAAGAUGAAAAGCACUUUGGAAAGAGAGUUAAACAGUACGUGAAAUUGUUGAAAGGGAAACGAUUGAAGUCAGUCGUGUUCUUUGGAUUCAGCCAGUUCUGCUGGUCUACUUCCUUGGAACGGGUCAACAUCAGUUUUGUCCGGUGGAUAAAGGUAGUAGGAAUGUGACUUCUCCGGAAGUGUUAUAGCCUAUUAUCACAUACACUGGGUGAGACUGAGGACUGCAGCUCGCCUUUAUGGCCGGCCUUCGGGCACGUUCGAGCUUAGGAUGUUGACAUAAUGGCUUUAAACGACCCGUCUGAAAA